UAGGGAAUCUUCGGCAAUGGACGAAAGUCUGACCGAGCAACGCCGCGCGUGUGAAGAAGGUUUUCGGCUCGUAAAACUCUUUUGUUAGAGAAGAACAAGGACGUUAGUAACUGAACGUCCCCUGACGGUAUCUAACCAGAAAGCUACGGCUAACUACUUGCCAGCAGCCGCGGUAAUACGUAGGUGGCAAGCGUUGUCCGGAUUUAUUGGUCGUAAAGCGAGCGCAGGUGGUUUCUUAAGUCUGAUGUGAAAGCCCCCGGCUCAACCGGGGAGGGUAAUUGGAAACUGGACGACUUGAGUGCAGAAGAGGAGAGUGGAAUUCCAUAUGUAGCGGUGAAAAGCGUAGCUAUAUGGAGGAACAGCAGUGGAGAAGGCAGCUCGCAGGACUGUAACUGACGCUGAGGCUCGAAAGCGUGGGGAGCAAACAGG
rnacentral:rRNA from 1 species